rnacentral:rRNA from 1 species
AGAGUUUGAUCAUGGCUCAGGAUGAACGCUAGCUACAGGCUUAACACAUGCAAGUCGAGGGGCAUCAGUUUGGUUUGCUUGCAAACCAAAGCUGGCGACCGGCGCACGGGUGAGUAACACGUAUCCAACCUGCCUCAUACUCGGGGAUAGCCUUUCGAAAGAAAGAUUAAUAUCCGAUAGCAUAUAUUUCCCGCAUGGGUUUUAUAUUAAAGAAAUUCGGUAUGAGAUGGGGAUGCGUUCCAUUAGUUUGUUGGCGGGGUAACGGCCCACCAAGACUACGAUGGGUAGGGGUUCUGAGAGGAAGGUCCCCCCANAUUGGAACUGAGACACGGUCCAAACUCCUACGGGAGCA